rnacentral:misc_RNA from 1 species
AACUGCGAUAAGUAAUGUGAAUUGCAGAAUUCAGUGAAUCAUCGAGUCUUUGAACGCACAUUGCGCCCCCUGGCAUUCCGGGGGGCAUGCCUGUCCGAGCGUCAUUGCUGCCCUUCAAGCCCGGCUUGUGUGUUGGGUCGUCGUCCCCUCCGGGGGACGGGCCCGAAAGGCAGCGGCGGCACCGCGUCCGGUCCUCGAGCGUAUGGGGCUUUGUCACCCGCUCGAUAAGGACCGGCCGGGCGCCAGCCGGCGUCUCCAACCUUUUUUUCUCAGGUUGACCUCGGAUCAGGUAGGGAUACCCACUGAACUUAAGC